AACACUGUUAACCUGCGGUACCUGCGGAGGGAUCAUUACCGAGUUUACAACUCCCAAACCCCUGUGAACAUACCACUUGUUGCCUCGGCGGAUCAGCCCGCUCCCGGUAAAACGGGACGGCCCGCCAGAGGACCCCUAAACUCUGUUUCUAUAUGUAACUUCUGAGUAAAACCAUAAAUAAAUCAAAACUUUCAACAAUGGAUCU
rnacentral:misc_RNA from 1 species